rnacentral:tRNA from 1 species
UCGUCCGUAGCUUCAGUUGGUUAGUACGUCACCACCUUGACUAUGGUGGGGUCGGGUGGUUCGAGUCCACUCGGACGCACCA